CCUACGUGAGGCAGCAGUGGGGGAUAUUGGACAAUGGGGGAAACCCUGAUCCAGCGACGCCGCGUGAGUGAAGAAGUAUUUCGGUAUGUAAAGCUCUGUCAGCAGGGAAGACAGAAAUGACGGUACCUGACCAAGAAGCCCCGGCUAACUACGUGCCAGCAGCCGCGGUAAUACGUAGGGGGCAAGCGUUAUCCGGAAUUACUGGGUGUAAAGGGAGCGUAGACGGUGAUGCAAGUCUGGAGUGAAAGGCGGGGGCCCAACCCCCGGACUGCUCUGGAAACUGUGUAACUUUAGUGCAGGAGAGGUAAGCGGAAUUCCUAGUGUAGCGGUGAAAUGCGUAGAUAUUAGGAGGAACACCAGUGGCGAAGGCGGCUUACUGGACUGUAACUGACGUUGAGGCUCGAAAGCGUGGGGGCAAACAGGAUUAGAUACCCUUGUAGUC
rnacentral:rRNA from 1 species